AGCGAACGUUAGCGGCGCGCCUAACACAUGCAAGUCGCACGAGAAAGGGCUUCGGCCCCGGUAAAGUGGCGCACGGGUGAGUAACACGUGGGCAACCUGCCCAACCCUGGGGGAUAACCUGCCGAAAGGCGGGCUAAUACCGCGUACGAGGGCUCGACUUCGGUCGGGUUCUGAAAGCAGGCCUCUGUAUACAAGCUUGUGGGGUUGGAUGGGCCCGCGCUCCAUCAGCUAGUUGGGGAGGUAACGGCUCACCAAGGCUACGACGGAUAGCUGGUCUGAGAGGAUGAUGAGCCACACUGGAACUGAGACACGGUCCAGACUCCUACGGGAGGCAGCAGUGGGGAAUCUUGCGCAAUGGACGAAAGUCUGACGCAGCGACGCCGCGUGGGUGACGAAGGCCUUCGGGUUGUAAAGCCCUGUGGGGUGAGACGAACAGCUGGGGUUCAAAUAGGGCCUUGGUCUGACGGUAUCACCUUAGCAAGCACCGGCUAACUCUGUGCCAGCAGCCGCCGUAAGAC
rnacentral:rRNA from 1 species